UACAGAGGGUGCGAGCGUUAAUCGGAAUUACUGGGCGUAAAGCGUGCGUAGACGGCUAUCUAAGUCGGGUGUGAAAGCCCGGGGCUCAACCCCGGAACUGCCUUUAAGACUGCAUCGCUUGAAUCCGGGAGAGGUGAGUGGAAUUCCGAGUGUAGAGGUGAAAUUCGUAGAUAUUCGGAAGAACACCAGUGGCGAAGGCGGCUCACUGGACCGGUAUUGACGCUGAUGUGCGAAAGCGUGGGGAGCAAACAGG
rnacentral:rRNA from 1 species